AACCAUAGAAACCUGCGGAGUACCUGCGGAGGGAUCAUUAAAAAGAGUGUGUACCCCUCUGUAAAAUGAGUGGGUUACCUCCCGUCCUUUGUUGACCUCUUAGGAGGUUAUUUUGAACUUUCUGCUUCGGUGGGGUUAAACCUACCGGAACACCCUCAAAUUCUUAUCAUUUAAAAAUUGUUCAGUCUGAUUUUUGUUAAUAAAAACAAAAAACUUUCAACAACGGAUCUCAGAUCGGAA
rnacentral:misc_RNA from 1 species